rnacentral:rRNA from 1 species
GACGAACGCUGGCGGCGUGCCUAAUACAUGCAAGUCGAACGCUUCUUUCCUCCCGAGUGCUUGCACUCAAUUGGAAAGAGGAGUGGCGGACGGGUGAGUAACACGUGGGUAACCUACCCAUCAGAGGGGGAUAACACUUGGAAACAGGUGCUAAUACCGCAUAACAGUUUAUGCCGCAUGGCAUAAGAGUGAAAGGCGCUUUCGGGUGUCGCUGAUGGAUGGACCCGCGGUGCAUUAGCUAGUUGGUGAGGUAACGGCUCACCAAGGCCACGAUGCAUAGCCGACCUGAGAGGGUGAUCGGCCACACUGGGACUGAGACACGGCCCAGACUCCUACGGGAGGCAGCAGUAGGGAAUCUCCGGCAAUGGACGAAAGUCUGACCGAGCAACGCCGCGUGAGUGAAGAAGGUUUUCGGAUCGUAAAACUCUGUUGUUAGAGAAGAACAAGGACGUUAGUAACUGAACGUCCCCUGACGGUAUCUAACCAGAAAGCCACGGCUAACUACGUG